UACGGGGGGGGCAAGCGUUGUUCGGAAUUACUGGGCGUAAAGGGCUCGUAGGCGGCCAACUAAGUCAGAUGUGAAAUCCCCGGGCUUAACCUGGGAACUGCAUUUGUGACUGCAUCGCUGGAGUGCGGCAGAGGGGGAUGGAAUUCCGCGUGUAGCAGUGAAAUGCGUAGAUAUGCGGAGGAACACCGAUGGCGAAGGCAAUCCCCUGGGCCUGCACUGACGCUCAUGCACGAAAGCGUGGGGAGCAAACAGG
rnacentral:rRNA from 1 species